rnacentral:rRNA from 1 species
GGAUGAACGCUAGCUACAGGCUUAACACAUGCAAGUCGAGGGGCAGCGGGAUUGAAGCUUGCUUCAAUUGCCGGCGACCGGCGCACGGGUGAGUAACGCGUAUCCAACCUUCCGUACACUCAGGGAUAGCCUUCCGAAAGAAAGAUUAAUACCUGAUGGUAUGAUGAGAUUGCAUGAUAGCAUCAUUAAAGAUUUAUCGGUGUACGAUGGGGAUGCGUUCCAUUAGGUAGUAGGCGGGGUAACGGCCCACCUAGCCAACGAUGGAUAGGGGUUCUGAGAGGAAGGUCCCCCACAUUGGAACUGAGACACGGUCCAAACUCCUACGGGAGGCAGCAGUGAGGAAUAUUGGUCAAUGGACGAGAGUCUGAACCAGCCAAGUAGCGUGAAGGAUGAAGGUCCUACGGAUUGUAAACUUCUUUUAUAAGGGAAUAAACCCUCCCACGUGUGGGAGCUUGUAUGUACCUUAUGAAUAAGCAUCGGCUAACUCCGUGCCAGCAGCCGCGGUAAUACGGAGGAUGCGAGCGUUAUCCGGAUUUAUUGGGUUUAAAGGGAGCGCAGACGGGUCGUUAAGUCAGCUGUGAAAGUUUGGGGCUCAACCUUAAAAUUGCAGUUGAUACUGGCGUCCUUGAGUGCGGUUGAGGUGUGCGGAAUUCGUGGUGUAGCGGUGAAAUGCUUAGAUAUCACGAAGAACUCCGAUUGCGAAGGCAGCACACUAAUCCGUAACUGACGUUCAUGCUCGAAAGUGUGGGUAUCAAACAGGAUUAGAUACCCUGGUAGUCCACACGGUAAACGAUGGAUACUCGCUGUUGGCGAUAUACUGUCAGCGGCUUAGCGAAAGCGUUAAGUAUCCCACCUGGGGAGUACGCCGGCAACGGUGAAACUCAAAGGAAUUGACGGA